GUGGGGAAUCUUGCGCAAUGGGCGAAAGCCUGACGCAGCCAUGCCGCGUGAAUGAUGAAGGUCUUAGGAUUGUAAAAUUCUUUCACCGGGGACGAUAAUGACGGUACCCGGAGAAGAAGCUCCGGCUAACUUCGUGCCAGCAGCCGCGGUAAUACGAAGGGGGCUAGCGUUGCCCGGAAUUACUGGGCGUAAAGGGCGCGUAGGCGGACAGCUUAGUCAGAGGUGAAAGCCCAGGGCUCAACCUUGGAAUUGCCUUUGAUACUGGCUGUCUUGAGUUUGGGAGAGGUGAGUGGAACUCCGAGUGUAGAGGUGAAAUUCGUAGAUAUUCGGAAGAACACCAGUGGCGAAGGCGACUCACUGGCCCAAUACUGACGCUGAGGCGCGAAAGCGUGGGGAGCAAACAGGAUUAGAAACCCGGGUAGUCC
rnacentral:rRNA from 1 species